AAGUGCUUACAAAUUUUUAUUUUGGACUCAAGAAUCUCAUUAUGAGGUGAGUAUUUUCCUCCUGUUUUUAUUCCAAUGAAAUUUAGCCGAUACUAAGGCAAUGAAUUGAUCAUGUGCUAAAACAGAAUGUUGACAGAGGGCAGUUUCUCAAAACAUUGCUAAGUGCACUUGGCCCGUUGUUCUCAGAGCAUCAGAACAAGCAAAUGAGAGUUGCCUUAAGGUUUCCCUGUUUAGAACAUCACUUAAUUUUGCCAUUUCAGAAUCAGGUAAAAUCCUUUCUGGUAACACUUAAAACAGUCAGCCAAAUUCUUUUAUUCUAUUAGAGUAUCAUUUAAAUAAAAAUAUCCCUAGAAAUUUCAUUUUUCCUAAUUUUUUUCUCCAUUUGACAGGAACAGAAAAAGGAGCUAGUGUCUAACCACUUAUAAGUUAAUUGCAAAUGAAAAAGAGGACUUAGAACUGAGGUAUCAAGAAGGAGGCUGGGUAUUUUCCCAAAUCUCUAGUUUCUACUAAGCAUCUGUCAAAUAGGAAAUCCCAUUUUGCUAUCCUACAGGGAUCUUAUAAUGAACACAUAUAAAGAGAAAUUUUUAAAAUUCUUAUUUCCAAGCUGCUUGUUCCUUUAUCUAGUGCAUUUCAAUAAAUUAUGCCAUUAUCUAUGCAGUUGCUUAAAAUAAAAAAAAAACAAGCAUUCUCCUUGAUUCCUCCUUUUCUUCAACACCUCAAUAUAUAUAGCACGUCCUCUACUCUGUUUAAAUCUCUUGGUACCUACUGCUAACACCCUAGCACCUCAAUUUAAAUCACCAUUAUCUUUUCACCUAAACUACUGAAAUAACUGUGAUCAGUCAGAGUCUAAUGAGAAAACAGAGUCAAUGCUUGGGAGUAUGUAAGAAGCCUAAAAUGUAUGACAAAGGAAUUAGAAGAGCUGAAAAGCCAACCAAGGAUGGUGUGCCAACCCACGAUCAAUUCCCACAACCCCUUUCUUUGACUGAUGGUUCAAUGGCAGGAGAAGCCCAAAGUAUAUCGACGUGGGGGUUUCAAUUAUAUUUCGAAGAAACAAUUAUUGUGUUAUUAAUGCUAUGAGAGAAGCAGCACCUUAUAAUGGUUCCUUGUUCAAAGCACCCAAUAUUCCUAGGAUGUGGUCUCCCAGCUGAUUUCAUAAAUGAAUUAUCAGUAAUUAAUUUCAUUGUUCCAUUAGGCAUACUAAAUAACAAGACUUCCUCCUCCAAGUUUUGCCCAUGAGAGAGGAUAUCUCUUCAUCACUUUUCUUUACGGACAUCUUUGGCUGAGGCUGCAGUAGAAUAAGCAAUCCAUGGCUGGCCAGUACCAGCAUAUGAUGUGACACCUUCGUAACCAGGACUUUACUCUGAGGAGGACCUGUAUCUGUUGGAAUCCUUAGGGCAAGCCACAUAAACAAACUCUGGAUACUUGUAGCAGAAAAUGAAGUUAUUGAAGACUAUUGUGGAGUUUACUAUGAGCCAGAGAACCAGGCUGGGGGGCUGUACCACUUAGAAUGAGAUCCAAACUCACACCAUAGUUCCACCCUUGAGGUUGCCAUGUUGCUGCUACCCCUCCUGCCACCCCACCACUGAAGCUUUGGAUGCUGGAUUCUGGACACAGCUGGGAGAAGUGUUGCUUAUUACCAUUUUAAUAUGUUUUCUUUCAAGACCUUUUUCAAAAUAUACAUACAUAUUUUUAUUUCUAUUCAAAAUGGAAUACAUUUUUUAAGGGUAGCAAUAUAUUGUGAACAUUUUCUUUCCUCUCAGAAACAUUUUUCUAUAAUAUAAUUUAUAGUGAUACAUAGUAAACUAUCUCAUAGACCUACCAUAGUUUACCUAACAAAUCCAAAAUCAUUUGUGCCAUUUCUGAAUUUUUAUUAUCUUAUGUAAUGCUUUAAUGAACAUCCUUGCAUUUAUAUUUUAUACAAUUUUAGAAGCUGAAUUACUGGUUCAAAAUACAUGACGAUUUUUAAUUCUUCUGUUGAAUAUUGACAGAUUGCAAUCCUGAGAGUUAUCUUGAAGGAUAGAGUUAUGUGCCCAGGGUUCUUUUUUAAGAAGUAAUUUGUAAUGUGAAAGAGAAUAGGCUGAAUGUUUUUUAUUCUCUUAGUCCUCCUCUUGUCAUUCUGCAGAGUUUCACUUAUUUGGAUUCAAAUUCUAAUUCUAGCCUACCUCUCUUUUUAUAUAAUUGUUAUGAGGAUUAAAUUAGAUGCAUAAAAUUGCUGCUUACUACAUAUAUUGCACAAACUAAAAACUUUUCAAAGGUUAACUGUUUUUCUGGUUUGUUUUUAAGAGACAGGUU